UUGAAAAAUAGUUCAUCCAUGCCCUUCAUUAUACUUUAGGGUCAAUUAUACCCUUACCGUUAUACUUUGGGCCAAAUAUACCCUUGAGUAUAACGGCAUGCCACGUGUCAAAAUUUCAGUGGCCAACUAAUUUUCCCUCUUUUAUUUUUCAUCCGGAUGCCUACUCCUUCAGAUCCGACCCAAUUAAUUUAUUACCCAACCCGUAAAAUAACAUACCCAAAUAAGCCAAACCUAACCCGUAUAACAUAUCUAUAGCCUCCCUCUCUCUCUCUCUCUCUCUAAAAAAAAAACGCAGAUCAUCUUCAACCUCUUCAAAUGGAAGCUGCAAUUGUGAUUUAGUGGAUUUUAUUGUUACCUUUUUGCUUGAUCGUCUUGAGAUGGGUGAAGUAGUUUCCACUAUUCCAAUGAGGUGACCACAAUGGUGUUAGUGAGGCAACCAAUCUUCCAGUCUCAUUAACAAGCUUAACUUGACAAGGGAAUGAUGCAGUUACUACCAGCCAGUUGGAGGCUACAGCUCAAGAGAGGAUUAGGAAGUUGAAUCCAAGAAGCGGACAUAACAAUUGAUUUAGCUUUAUGAAAUGUUAUUGUUUUUUGUGAAUUAUGGUGAUGUAUUUACUGCUUAAGACAGUACUCUUAAUUUGCUAAUUAUGUAAUGGUCAAACUAAAUGGAUGUCACAUUAUGACUUGGGAUGUAUUAGUUUUUUGGGUUAUAGUGUGGCAUCCAUACAACUAUUGGCUUAUUUUGUGCUGUGGUUGACAGUUUCUAUAGCAUAUUUAUGGUGUUUGAAAUGUCCAGUUGUUUUGUCGAAUUGGAUUAUGUUUAGUUUGACUGAAAUGUGU